rnacentral:rRNA from 1 species
AACUUGGAGACGCUGGCAAGGGCCCCGGGAAGAGUUUUCUUUUCUCCUUGACCGCUUAACCCCCUGAAAUCGGAUUGUCCGGAGCUAGGGGUCGAUGGCGGGUAGAGCUCGACACCUCUGUCGGGUCCGGUGCGUUCUUGACAGCCCUUGAAAAUCCAAGGGAAUGAAUAACUUUCACACCUGGUC